CCAAUGUGGGACCCAGCAGGCCACUCUCUCAGGCUCUGUCCUAGUGGCAUAGGGGAGCGUAGACUCUGUCCCUUUACAGUCCCUUUCCACAAAGCUGGAGAUGAAGCUGGGCUUCAAGUCUGCUCCUGCACAUUCUGUGACUUCCCAGAGUCAUAGAAUGUGGAUGAUUACUGAGGAGACAACCACGCAGAAAACAAUU